rnacentral:rRNA from 1 species
GACGAACGCUGGCGGCAGGCCUAACACAUGCAAGUCGAACGAGAAGCCACCUUCGGGUGGUGGAAAGUGGCAGACGGGUGAGUAACGCGUGGGAACGUGCCUUUCGGUUCGGGAUAACCCAGGGAAACUUGGGCUAAUACCGGAUACGCCCUUCGGGGGAAAGAUUCAUUGCCGAAAGAUCGGCCCGCUUAGGAUUAGGUAGUUGGUGGGGUAAUAGCCUACCAAGGCGACGAUCCGUAGUGGGUCUGAGAGGAUGACCAGCCACACUGGGAAUGAGACACGGCCCAGACUACUACGGAAGGCAGCAGUGGGGAAUAUUGGACAAUGGGCGACAGCCUGAUCCAACCAAGCCGCGUGGGUGAAGAAGGACUUAGCGUUGUAAUUCCUUUUCAGCGGGGACGAUAAUGACGGUACCCGCAGAAGAAGUCCCGGCUAACUCCGUGCCAGCCGCCGCCGUAACAC